rnacentral:rRNA from 1 species
AACGAACGCUGGCGGCGUGCCUAACACAUGCAAGUCGAACGGAUUGAAGGGGCUUGCUCCUUCAGUUAGUGGCGCACGGGUGAGUAACGCGUAGAUAAUCUGCCUGAUGAUCUGGGAUAACAGUUCGAAAGGACUGCUAAUACCGGAUAAGCCCACGUGGUCUUUGGACCGUGCGGGAAAAGGAGGGGACCUUCGGGCCUUCCGUCAUCAGAUGAGUCUGCGUACCAUUAGCUAGUUGGUAGGGUAAAGGCCUACCAAGGCGACGAUGGUUAGCUGGUCUGAGAGGAUGAUCAGCCACACUGGAACUGAGACACGGUCCAGACUCCUACGGGAGGCAGCAGUGGGGAAUUUUGCGCAAUGGGGGAAACCCUGACGCAGCAACGCCGCGUGAGUGAUGAAGGCCCUUGGGUCGUAAAGCUCUGACAGAGGGAAAGAAAUGUGGGUGGCUAAUAUCCAUUCCACUUGACGGUACCCUCAAAGGAAGCACCGGCUAACUCCGUGCCAGCAGCCGCAGUAACAC